rfam:Magnaporthe poae ATCC 64411 unplaced genomic scaffold supercont1.7, whole genome shotgun sequence.
AAUUAUUUGGCGUAAUGGUAACGCGUUUAUUCUUUAAACGAAAAGUUUUUGGUUCGAUUUUAAAAAUAUUUU